rnacentral:rRNA from 1 species
GAAUGCUGACAUAAGUAACGAUAAAGCGGGUGAAAAGCCCGCUCGCCGGAAGACCAAGGGUUCCUGUCCAACGUUAAUCGGGGCAGGGUGAGUCGACCCCUAAGGCGAGGCCGAAAGGCGUAGUCGAUGGGAAACGGGUUAAUAUUCCCGUACUUGGUGUUACUGCGAAGGGGGGACGGAGAAGGCUAUGUUGGCCGGGCGACGGUUGUCCCGGUUUAAGCGUGUAGGUGUGUGUUCCAGGUAAAUCCGGUUCACUUUAACACUGAGGCGUGACGACGAGGCACUACGGUGCUGAAGCAACAAAUGCCCUGCUUCCAGGAAAAGCCUCUAAGCAUCAGGUAACAUCAAAUCGUACCCCAAACCGACACAGGUGGUCAGGUAGAGAAUACCAAGGCGCUUGAGAGAACUCGGGUGAAGGAACUAGGCAAAAUGGUGCCGUAACUUCGGGAGAAGGCACGCUGACACGUAGGUGAAGUGAUUUACUCAUGGAGCUGAAGUCAGUCGAAGAUACCAGCUGGCUGCAACUGUUUAUUAAAAACACAGCACUGUGCAAACACGAAAGUGGACGUAUACGGUGUGACGCCUGCCCGGUGCCGGAAGGUUAAUUGAUGGGG